rnacentral:rRNA from 1 species
ACAGGGAUUGCCCUAGUAACGGCGAGUGAAGCGGCAACAGCUCAAAUUUGAAAUCUGGCGUCUUUGGCGUCCGAGUUGUAAUUUGCAGAGGGCGCUUUGGCAUUGGCAGCGGUCCAAGUUCCUUGGAACAGGACGUCACAGAGGGUGAGAAUCCCGUACGUGGUCGCUAGCCUUUACCGUGUAAAGCCCCUUCGACGAGUCGAGUUGUUUGGGAAUGCAGCUCUAAAUGGGAGGUAAAUUUCUUCUAAAGCUAAAUACUGGCCAGAGACCGAUAGCGCACAAGUAGAGUGAUCGAAAGAUGAAAAGCACUUUGGAAAGAGAGUUAAAAAGCACGUGAAAUUGUUGAAAGGGAAGCGCUUGCAGCCAGACUUGCCUGUAGUUGCUCAUCCGGGUUUUUACCCGGUGCACUCUUCUACAGGCAGGCCAGCAUCAGUUUGGGCGGUUGGAUAAAGGUCUCUGUCAUGUACCUCUCUUCGGGGAGAACUUAUAGGGGAGACGACAUGCAACCAGCCUGGACUGAGGUCCGCGCAUCUGCUAGGAUGCUGGCGUAAUGGCUGUAAGCGGCCCGUCUUGAAACACGGACCAAGGAGUCUAACAUCUAUGCGAGUGUUUGGGUGUCAAGCCCGAGCGCGUAAUGAAAGUGAACGGAGGUGGGAACCUUUCGGGGUGCACCAUCGACCGAUCCUGAUGUCUUCGGAUGGAUUUGAGUAAGAGCAUAGCUGUUGGGACCCGAAAGAUGGUGAACUAUGCUUGAAUAGGGUGAAGCCAGAGGAAACUCUGGUGGAGGCUCGCAGCGGUUCUGACGUGCAAAUCGAUCGUCAAAUUUGGGCAUAGGGGCGAAAGACUAAUCGAACUAUCUAGUAGCUGGUUCCUGCCGAAGUUUCCCUCAGGAUAGCAGUAACGUUUUCAGUUUUAUGAGGUAAAGCGAAUGAUUAGAGGCCUGGGGGUUGAAACAACCUU